rnacentral:lncRNA from 1 species
UGUUAUAUGGUAUGUGCUAGUUGGGUGUAGUUGAUCUGCAUGUUUAGGUACGGUUUGGGUGAGUUAUGCAUGAAACAGAGCAGGGUUCUGUCCACUGGACAAAGCCAGGUUCGGCCGCCGAACCCCUUGUGGAGGCAGUUUCGGCUGCCAAAGCUUGCCCCCGAACAUUUGGACUUUCGUCUCUGGAGGCAAGGUUCGGCCGCCGAAAGUGCCGCCGAAGGUUGAGGUUCGUCUCUGGACGCGACUUUCGGCUGCUGAAGGUGCCGCUGAACAUGCAUGAGGUUCGUCUCUGGAGAGGGGUUUCGGCCGCCGAACCUGCCGCCGAAAGUGCCC